rnacentral:rRNA from 1 species
UCGAACGGCAGCACGGACUUCGGUCUGGUGGCGAGUGGCGAACAGGUGAGUAAUGUAUCGGAACGUGCCUAGUAGCGGGGAUAACUACGCGAAAGCGCCGCUAAUACCGCAUACGCCCUUCCAGGAAAGCGGGGGACCUUCGGGCCUCGCACUAUUAGAGCGGCCGAUAUCGGAUUAGCUAGUUGGUGGGGUAACGGCUCACCAAGGCGACGAUCCGUAGCUGGUUUGAAGGCGACCAGCCACACUGGGACUGAGACACGGCCCAGACUCCUACGGGAGGCAGCAGUGGGGAAUUUUGGACAAUGGGGGAAACCCUGAUCCAGCCACCCCGCGUGUGCGAUGAAGGCCUUCGGGUUGUAAAGCACUUUUAGCGGGAAAGAAACGGCACGGGAUAAUACCCGUGCAACUGACGACACCUGCAGAAUACGCGCAGCUAACUACGUGCCAGCAAGCCGCGGUAAUACGUAAAUUUCACAAGCGUUAAUCGGAAUUACUGGGCGUAAAGCGUGCGCAGGCGGUUCGGAAGAAAGAUGUGAAAUCCCAGAGCUUAACUUUGGAACUGCAUUUUUAACUACCGAGCUAGAGUGUGUCAGAGGGAGGUGGAAUUCCGCGUGUAGCAGUGAAAUGCGUAGAUAUGCGGAGGAACACCGAUGGCGAAGGCCUCCUGGGAUAACACUGACGCUCAUGCACGAAAGCGUGGGAGCAAGACAGGAUUAGAUACCCUGGUAGUCCACGCCCUAAACGAUGUCAACUAGCUGUUGGGGCCUUCCGGGCCUUGGUAGCGCAGCUAACGCGUGAAGUUGACCGCCUGGGGAGUACGGUCGCAAGAUUAAAACUCAAAGGAAUUGACGGGGACCCGCACAAGCGGUGGAUGAUGUGGAUUAAUUCGAUGCAACGCGAAAACCUUACCUACCCUUGACAUGUCUGGAAUCCCGAAGAAGAUUUGAGUCUCGCAAGAGAACCAGACACAGGUGCUGCAUAAGCUAUCGUCAGCUCGUGUCGUGAGAUGUUGGGUUAAGUCCCGCAACGAGCGCAACCCUUGUCAUUAGUUGCUACGAAAGGGCACUCUAAUGAGACUGCCGGUGACAAACCGGAGGAAGGUGGGGAUGACGUCAAGUCCUCAUGGCCCUUAUGGGUAGGGCUUCACACACGUCAUACAAUGGUCGGGACAGAGGGUCGCCAACCCGCGAGGAGCCAAUCCCAGAAACCCGAUCGUAGUCCGGAUCAUGAUCUGCAACUCGACUGCGUGAAGUCAGAAUGCUAGUAAUCGCGGAUCAGCAUGUCGCGGUGAAUACGUUCAGAUUGGCACACACCGCCCGUCACACCAUGGGGUUUACAAGCUGGAUUAACUAACCUUAGCCAAAGGAGGGCGAUUACCACGGUAGUUCAGGCUGGGGUGAGAUCGCCGCAAGGUAG